GACACAUGGUAGAAGAGUCUCUGAAGUCAUACGUUACAAUCCCCACUUCAAUGGUAAAGAAAUUAAGAUCCAAAGAAGUUGAUUCACUGCACACCGUUUUCUUGAAUGCUUAUUGAUGCUAAUGGAGUGGUGGCCAGCAAUAAAGAGCUCCAGUUGUGGGUGCUGUGGUGAAGGCUUUCUAGAAGGCGUAAGAAGGCAACACAUAAGCCUCGUCAAAGGCUUAUCAUGGCCAGGGCCCGGGGCUGAGCUUGUCCCAUACACCAGCUCAUUCCAGUUAACUUGCUUCUUCGAAGUACAGAGAAAUAGGUGUGUGCUUCUGGGACAACCAAUUAUUUGUUUACCCUGUGGAUUGAUCCCCUCUUCAUCUUCCAGCCCAGGAAGAACACACGUUGUACCAGGAAUGCCAGGAAGCUUUGGGACAUUGCCGAAUUAGGGAUCAAAGAGAGAGCCAGGAUGUUACCCAGUGUGAAAAUCAUUAUUAUUAUUGUUUAUUGACUUCAGAGAGAGGAAGGGAGAGGGGAGAAAGAAGCAUCAAUGAUGAGAGAGAGUCACUGACUGGCUGCCUCCUGCACGCCCCCUACUUGGGAUCGAGCCCAAAACCUGGGCAUGUGCCCCUGACUGGAAAUGGAACCGCAACCUCCUGGUCGAUGAUCAACCACUGAGACACACUGGCCGGGCUGAACAUUAUUUUUUAACAAAGGAAUUUCUCAACUCUCAGUUUCUCCAGGAGGCCUUCCAAGACUGCUCGCGUAUCCCAGGCUCCCAGCCCCUUCACCGGCUCUGGCUGCAUUUUCCCAUGAAGUCAGUAUCAAGUUCUAAGGGGCUCCUUUUCCCGUCAGAGCCGUGACACCUUAAAGUGGACUGAUCUUCGUAGAUAUAUAAGUGCAGAGUUUGAUUUUGCAAUUGCAGUACCCUGUAGAAUUUCAUGCAUUCAGAAUAACCUGCUGUGUUAAGUAAUCACGUUUGCUAUUGAUGAAUGGCCUGUCUUCUCCCCCUGAAGGCACCCUCUAUGAGGACAGUGAUCUUCAUCUCUUUUGUUCACUGAUAUGUCCCAAAUACCCGGCGUCUGGACAUAAAAUGGACACUCAAAAAAAAAAAAGGAAGGAAGUGGGGAGAAUGGAGUUUUGGAGAGCAUAGCAGUGUAAACACAUUUUACUUACAAAUACCUACGUUGGCUCAGUCCUUGCCAUAACCUUUGGGUGCGUGUUGGAUGCAUUUCCACAAAACAUCAUCUAUCCUAUGUAAAAUGAAUUGUUAAUCUGAGUGGAGCGGGGGAUGUGUGUUAUCUGUGCAAUUCAUUUUACCGUUCUAUGAGAAUUCUAAACCUUGAGGAGCCUAUAUCGAAGGGAGAACAUAAUAAAAAUUUUAAUGAAAA